GAUUCAAUUGAUGAUUUUAAUAUUUAUAUUUAUUGUUGUGAAUCUCACCCCUUCUGCUUGAAAAUGUUGUCCUUCCUAUGGGUAACUUGCAGGUGAUCUUGAGUAGUUGGUGGUGGCUCAAGUGUCGUGUCUAGGGCUCUGAUACGUGGGAUGAGAAUUAUUAUUAUUAUUGUUUUUCUUUUCUAUGUAUCAAUUUUUGGAACUUGAUGAUGUGG
rnacentral:lncRNA from 1 species